CCAGUCCUACUCCCAAAGGCAGCUUUUCUAAGCUGAUUCCUGACACAGGAGAUGGUAACUGCUACGGGUAAA
rnacentral:lncRNA from 1 species